rnacentral:hammerhead_ribozyme from 1 species
AUCUAGCUGACGAGUUCCAAACAGGACGAAACGCGCGUCCUGGAU